AGAGUUUGAUCCUGGCUCAGGACGAACGCUGGCGGCGUGCUUAACACAUGCAAGUCGAACGAAGCUUGAUUACGGAUUCUUCGGAAGAAGUAUGAUAUGACUGAGUGGCGGACGGGUGAGUAACGCGUGAGUAACCUGCCCUUCAGAGGGGGAUAGCGUUUGGAAACGAACGGUAAUACCGCAUAAUGUAUUUUGACCGCAUGAUCGAAAUACCAAAGAUUUAUCGCUGAAGGAUGGACUCGCGUCUGAUUAGGUAGUUGGUGGGGUAACGGCCUACCAAGCCGACGAUCAGUAGCCGGACUGAGAGGUUGAUCGGCCACAUUGGGACUGAGACACGGCCCAGACUCCUACGGGAGGCAGCAGUGGGGAAUAUUGCACAAUGGGCGCAAGCCUGAUGCAGCAACGCCGCGUGAAGGAAGACGGUUUUCGGAUUGUAAACUUCUGUUCUUAGUGAAGAAUAAUGACGGUAGCUAAGGAGCAAGCCACGGCUAACUACGUGCCAGCAGCCGCGGUAAUACGUAGGUGGCAAGCGUUGUCCGGAAUUACUGGGUGUAAAGGGAGCGCAGGCGGGUGAUCAAGUCAGCUGUGAAAACUACGGGCUUAACCCGUAGACUGCAGUUGAAACUGUUCAUCUUGAGUGAAGUAGAGGUUGGCGGAAUUCCGAGUGUAGCGGUGAAAUGCGUAGAUAUUCGGAGGAACACCGGUGGCGAAGGCGGCCAACUGGGCUUUAACUGACGCUGAGGCUCGAAAGUGUGGGGAGCAAACAGGAUUAGAUACCCUGGUAGUCCACACUGUAA
rnacentral:rRNA from 1 species